AACGAACGCUGGCGGCAGGCUUAACACAUGCAAGUCGAACGCCCCGCAAGGGGAGUGGCAGACGGGUGAGUAACGCGUGGGAAUCUACCCAUCCCUACGGAAUAACGCAUGGAAACGUGUGCUAAUACCGUAUACGCCCUACGGGGGAAAGAUUUAUCGGGGAUGGAUGAGCCCGCGUUGGAUUAGCUAGUUGGUGGGGUAAAGGCCUACCAAGGCGACGAUCCAUAGCUGGUCUGAGAGGAUGAUCAGCCACAUUGGGACUGAGACACGGCCCAAACUCCUACGGGAGGCAGCAGUGGGGAAUAGUGGACAAUGGGCGCAAGCCUGAUCCAGCCAUGCCGCGUGAGUGAUGAAGGCCUUAGGGUUGUAAAGCUCUUUCACCGGAGAAGAUAAUGACGGUAUCCGGAGAAGAAGCCCCGGCUAACUUCGUG
rnacentral:rRNA from 1 species